rnacentral:rRNA from 1 species
GCAANUCGAACGGGACUCUNUUGGUAGUANUACUGUGAGAGUUUAGUGGCGAACGGGUGAGUAAUGCAUGGAUAACGUACCUGAUGCUCAGGGAUAGCGGCGCCCUUCGGGGCUUUAGCGAAAGUGCCGGUAACACCUGAUAACAUCCAGAGNUCGCAUGGCCUUUGGAUCAAAAGAGGGGACCUUCGGGCCUUUUGGCAUCGGAUCGGUCCAUGUCCUAUCAGCUUGUUGGUGGGGUAAUGGCCUACCAAGGCUUAGACGGGUAGCGGGCGUGAGAGCGUGGCCCGCCACAUCGGGACUGAGACACUGCCCGGACACCUACGGGUGGCUGCAGCAACGAAUAUUCCGCAAUGGGCGAAAGCCUGACGGAGCGACGCCGCGUGGAGGAUGAAGUCCUUCGGGAUGUAAACUCUAAUACUAUGUCAGGAAGCAAUCCGGUCUAAUAUGCCGGAACGUUGACCAUCAUAUGAAAGGGGCGGCUAACUCCGUGCCAGCAGCCGCGGUAAGACGGAGGCCCCAAGCGUUGUUCGGAAUCACUGGGCUUAAAGCGCGUGUAGGCGGGAUGGUAAGUACCUUGUGAAAUCCCCGGCUUCAAUCCGGGAACUGCUCGGUAUACUGCCAUUCUUGAGGCAGGUAGGGGUCACUGGAACCUUAGGUGGAGCGGUGAAAUGCGUAGAUAUCUAAGGGAACGCCUGUGGCGAAAGCGGGUGACUGGGCCUGUCCUGACGCUGAGACGCGAAAGCGUAGGGAGCGAACGGGAUUAGAUACCCCGGUAGUCUACGCCGUAGACGAUGCGCACUAGGUUCGAGGACUUCUGACAGUUUUCGUGCCGAAACAAAAGCGAUAAGUGCGCCGCCUGGGGAGUACGGCCGCAAGGCUAAAACUCAAAUGAAUUGACGG